rnacentral:tRNA from 1 species
UGCCGGCCUUGUCGAGGACCUUCUGCGUCGCCGGGGUCGGUCCGGUGAGCAUGAUCGUCGGUUCGGAGCCGACGACGGCGG